UACGUAGGGUGCAAGCGUUAAUCGGAAUUACUGGGCGUAAAGCGUGCGCAGGCGGUUUUGUAAGUCUGUCGUGAAAUCCCCGGGCUCAACCUGGGAAUUGCGAUGGAGACUGCAAGGCUAGAAUCUGGCAGAGGGGGGUAGAAUUCCACGUGUGAGCAGUGAAAUGCGUAGAGAUGUGGAGGAACACCGAUGGCGAAGGCAGCCCCCUGGGUCAAGAUUGACGCUCAUGCACGAAAGGCGUGGGGAGCAAAC
rnacentral:rRNA from 1 species